AAAAAACACAUGUUUUAUAUCACUUUAUGUCCUUUACACCAAAUUGAGUUAAAUUACUCAGUUAUGUUUAUUUAAUGCAAGGGUAUAAUUGGCAUUUUACUUUUUUACCUUAUUCAUCGCCCUUUUAUAACCCCUUUAUCUGCAUCUUCUUCCUCAAUUAGGGUUUUUUCAAGGUUUCGAAAAUGGUGCUUUGUGGGUGUGGAAAGGAAGCAUCGAUUCGAACAUCAAAAACCUCCAAGAAUCCAGGCCGUAAGUUCUAUGGAUGCCACGACAAGAAUAGAAAAUGUGGGUUUUUUUUUAUGUGGAUUGAACCACAAAAAAUGUGUCAAACUUGCAUCGACAUCAUACCCGAUUUGUGAAGUUCAAGAAUGAGUAUCAAGAACAAAGAAAAAGAGUUGAAGAAAAAAAAAAGCAAGAAGUUGGAAGAAUUACCUGAUUUGCAGCUGGAUCUUAUUUUUUGUCUAUGUUUUUGUAUUCUGUCAAUGAACUGUUGUAGCUAUAAUGUAUUGACUUUUGUUUAGUAAUGGAAUGGUGUUGUAGACUA